GCGUGGGUGACGAAGGCCUUCGGGUUGUAAAGCCCUUUCGGCGGGGAAGAUGAUGACGGUACCCGCAGAAGAAGCCCCGGCUAACUCCGUGCCAGCAGCCGCGGUAAUACGGAGGGGGCUAGCGUUGUUCGGAAUUACUGGGCGUAAAGGGCGCGUAGGCGGCCGUUCAAGUCAGGCGUGAAAGGCCCGGGCUCAACCUGGGAACUGCGUUUGAGACUGGAUGGCUCGAGAUCGGGAGAGGCGAGUGGAAUUCCCAGUGUAGAGGUGAAAUUCGU
rnacentral:rRNA from 1 species